rnacentral:lncRNA from 1 species
AGAAAACAUUGGAGAGUGAGACAGAAAUACUAUGUUUCAUAUAUCUGAGGAAUGUAAUAGCUAGCAAAUAUUGCAGGUAUAUCAAGCUUAAAUGUUUGCAUUGAACACUUGGCUUCUUUAAUAUGGUAAGUCCUUUCUUACACUCACAACUCCCUGUUAGAGCGUAUGUCAUUGAAAUCGGAUUACAAUUCAGGAGGGCACUGAGUUACAUUUGCCGUGCAUCUUACCACAGGACGAGGCUUCUUGGGUCUGGAGCGCCUUAGUUCCUGUAAUUUAUCCGCAUUAGCCACACUAAGCACGGCUGACUCAUACGUCCCCAAAUUUCCAACAAUUCUCUUAUCCGAUUCUAAACUAAUGUACGCCUCAAUCGUACUGCAAAUUGCCGGCGGCGUCCACUGUCUCGAACUGAACAUCCAUCCUAAUUCAGCAGAAACAGAAUCAAACCCACAGGCCGAAACACCCAACGAGCCAUUUUCCACAGCUUUAUCAUGGUACUUCACUUCCAUCCUCUCCAUAAACUCAGGCUCUCCACAAAUAUCCAAGUAAUCGCAGCCCGAAUCAACACAUGCUUCAGCAACGGGCUCACCGUAAAGACGAAACGGGCCGACACAGUUGAGAAUGAUCUUAGUCCGGGAAGCAAGGUGACGAAGUGAAGAUGGAUCGUUGGUGUCGGCGGCGAUAAUGGGAAUUUCGGGUGGCGGGUUCGGGCCGGAGGCCCAUUGUAGAGCCCGGGAAAGCCUGGAAGCGUUACGGCCUGCUAUGGCUAAGUUUUUCAAUGGGGAAGAUGAAACGUUGAGGAAUUUGAGAGCUUCUCUAAUGACGUGUUUGCCAGUAAAACCUGAAGCGCCUAAGAUUAUGACGUCGUAAGUUGGAUUUGGACUGAGUUUUUGUGACAUGGCUCGAUUGGUAAUAAUUGUAUAACAUGUUGGAUAGUAUCCAAAAUGGUCCAAUAUUUUUGGCAAAAUGGUCCUAUUGCUUUUGUAUGUAGCAUUAAUAGUCCACAUCUUUUGGUAAAGCAAAGCACUUAUGACCCAGCUUCCGUCAAUUUGUUAACGGUCUCCACGUAUAUAUGCCUCACGUUAUUUUUUUCUUUCCCGCCAAACUAAUCUCAAUGCUGCUGCUCCUCCCUGUAUUGAAGCGCAUUUAAGGCGCGCCAUAAACAGGAACAGAAUCAAAUCCACAGGCCGAAACAACCAACGAGCCAUUUUCCACAGCUUUAUCAUGGUACUUCACUUCCAUCCUCUCCAUAAACUCAGGCUCUCCACAAAUAUCCAAGUAAUCGCAGCCCGAAUCAACACACGCUUCAACAACGGGCUCGCCGUAAAGGCGAAACGGGCCGACACAGUUGAGAAUGAUCUUAGUCCGGGAAGCAAGGUGACGAAGUGAAGAUGGAUCGUUGGUGUCGGCGGCGAUAAUGGGAAUUUCGGGUGGCGGGUUCGGGCCGGAGGCCCAUUGUAGAGCCCGGGAAAGCCUGGAAGCGUUACGGCCUGCUAUGGCUAAGUUUUUCAAUGGGGAAGAUGAAACGUUGAGGAAUUUGAGAGCUUCUCUAAUGACGUGUUUGCCAGUAAAACCUGAAGCGCCUAAGAUUAUGACGUCGUAAGUUGGAUUUGGACUGAGUUUUUGUGACAUGGCUCGAUUGGUAAUAAUUGUAUAACAUGUUGGAUAGUAUCCAAAAUGGUCCAAUAUUUUUGGCAAAAUGGUCCUAUUGCUUUUGUAUGUAGCAUUAAUAGUCCACAUCUUUUGGUAAAGCAAAGCACUUAUGACCCAGCUUCCGUCAAUUUGUUAACGGUCUCCACGUAUAUAUGCCUCACGUUAUUUUUUUCUUUCCCGCCAAACUAAUCUCAAUGCUGCUGCUCCUCCCUGUAUUGAAGCGCAUUUAAGGCGCGCCAUAAAAAAAGACACAGAAUUUAGCAUCACAUAUUAGUAAAUGAUCAAAUCAUUUAUGCUUGUUAACUUGAAAUUUUUCGGAGGAACUUUUUUUUUUUUUUUACAUCAAGUUAGCUUUAUUAAUUAUGUUUUUGAAAAUAUAAAUUUGAGUUUAUAAUUGAAAAUAUAUAUUUAGUUUGAAACGAAGGGAGUAUUAGGAUUAAAGCUAAUUGUUUGGUUAGCCAAUGAAGAGAAAACUGUUAACUAAGGAGAGGAUGAUUUUAGAGAGUAGAUAUAUAUUACAGAUCACAGAUGAUGAUGGCAUUUGCUGCUUUAACUAUAUAUAUGUAUUUGCAAACUGUAGGAAGAAUUGGAGAUCUGGGACAGGCAUCAUGAUACAAAAGAAGCGGGCGGACUCUCCUGAUUAGUUGAUAGCAUAAAGGAAGGAAGUACUGGAUGAAGGUUUUAAAAUGUUUUAACUUAACAAGAUAGCCCAAAACUCCAUUUGGGAGUAGAUAAGGAGGCAUGAAAAGAAAUAAGCUACUUCCAUCGGAUCACUUUAAUUGUCGUCGUCCUUGCUAAAAAUAAUUGUUAUUUUAGAAAACUAAUUACUCAUUUAGUCCUUAAUCAUAAUUAUUCUUGGUUGUAAUAGAGUAUAUAAUUAUUGAGUAAUUAGCAUGAAAAUCUAAACGAAGAACACAUACCCAUACUCCAAUAUUCAUGUGAUUGCUUUGCUUAAAUUAACUCUCUUUAAUUUUGAGAUAUUAAAGUGAGAAUAAUUGUUGAAGAAGAAGAAUCACCUGAUGAGAGUAAACAAGAAAAUGAGAGAGUGAGGAAGAGCAACCCUUCAAAGGUUACGUAUUCUUUGUGGUUGUUUUUGGGGGGUUUUAAAUGGGGAUAGAAGGUUACAAAAUUUGGCAAGAGUGGACAAGCUCAAAUAUUUCCUAACUGAGAAUUUUGCCAGGACCAAAAAUUUAUGACUAUGAUUUAUGAACGUGCAUUAAGGCGAGAUAUUGUUUUUUCAUCAAAUUAAUUUAACUUUUCAUUUCUUUUUAUAGAAAGCUUUUUAAAAAGAAAAAAAAAAUAUUGGGGGAGGGGAUUACAAUGUGGAGAAUUGAACCCUCACCAACAAGGUGGGAGUUCACGUAACUAACCAACUAAGCUACUAAGAUUUCUCUCUUUUUUUUAUAGAAAGCAUUAACGGGUUCGAAAUUUUCAUACUUAGAAUCAAUUUUUUUUUUCAUAUUUAUCCUUAGCAUCAAUUAUUCUAGAAUUAAGUGACACGUAAAUGAGUAGAAAUUAAAGAAUUAAUAAGAAAUAUAUUGGUCAAAUUAUCCUUCUAGUAAUUUUUUCUUAACGAUUGUACCAAAAAGUAUCCUAACAACUAAAUGGAAAUGGGGGGAUUAGUAGACUAAUCUUUUUAGUAAUAUUUUGAAACUCUAAAUUUGAUUACUAUUACUUUGUGUGGUUAUUUAAUAUUAAGGGUAGUAUGAAAAACAAAACCAAACUCUUAAUUUACUAAAAUGAACAAAUAAAAAAAUAUUUUACGUAUAAAGGCCGAAUUUAAAAUAAAAAGGAGAGAGUAAAUACAUAUUUAACAUAUUGGUACAAUACAAUUUUUUCAGUAAUGGGUGUUAAUUAAACAAGAGGGACCAAACUGUGCAGCACUAAAGUAGUGCAAUGGAAAUGGACCCGAAAUAUUUAAAACUAGGUUCCUUUUACUCUAUAAAAUUCAAUAGCAAUAAGAAGGUAUAAAUACAUACGCAGGGUGGUCCAUGUGCUAUCGAGUUCAUCUCAACUCAAUACUUUUGAAGUGGGUAUAAAUUAAUGAAUAAAAUUUAAUAAAAUUAAAAUAAAUAGUAGAUAUGAACUCACAAUUUUAAAAUCAUAACAAGAGAUAAAUGAUUAAGAACCUUAAAGAUUGAACCUGUAGAGUUGAAAUCUUUAAUCCGCCUCUAUACAUAAAUAUAUUCAGCUCAGAUAAUCAAUGAGCAAGCAAAGCUGUCAUAGAAGAGUCUCAGUUUAAUUUUUGCUGCUUAGUUAAAUUCGUCAAUGGUAGUUGAAUCGAUCUCAAAUUAAAUAUAGUUUGGAGGCUAUGUUUUUUUUAAAACUAUUUUACCUUCAUCCAUGCCUUAAGAUAUAAUCUGUUUUUCAUUAAGUAUUUAUUUUAUUGAGAUAUUUAUAGUCUUCAAAAAUAAUUACUAUAAAAAAUAAAAUAGAAAAAGAUAAUUAAUUUCGUCUUGAACUUCUAACAUCACAAAAUGAAUAAUUUGAGGUAACUAUUUUUAGAAAUUAAGGCAAACAAUUUGGGAUGGAAGGUGUAAUUUGCACAGCCAACGGCCACAUACAGGACCUCAACCCCCACUUUACCAAAAUAAUUAUUAAUACGUAUUAAAUUCAAUCAAGUCUCGAAUCAGUAGGAGUAAUUACUACUACUAGGUUAGGUACAGUGUAGAAUUACAUAUAUGUCAUUCAGCUAUUUUUUAAUUUUUUUUUUUAAAAAAAAGGCAAGCGUGACAAAGAUUAUAUUUCCAAUAAAACAUGCAGAAGAAAUAGAAAACUUUGGACUUAAAAAAAAGUGAUUAUAUAAGAAGUCUCAUCUCCUUAAUAAUGCAGUAAUCUUAUUAAAUGGCACCAUAAUUAUUGCUUGAGCGAAAGAAGAAUGAAACCUUGACAUAUACUACAAUGCAUAGAUACAUGAACUACCACCUCUAUGGAACACAAAGACGUCAUUUUUAAAAAAUAAUGAAACGUUAUAAUUUUGGCUCUUUUAGUUAAACCAAAAAAUUAAAGAAAAAAACUUAAUUAUGUAAGAAGAGUUGAAAAAAAAUUGCUAGGCUGACGGAUUGACACGUAAGUUACAAGUUUGGAAGUACCCAAACUAAAGCAUGUUAUUGCAUCUCUUAAUUGAUUUUGAAUUUACACUUGAAUUCAAGUGCGUCUUACAAGUAGUAGUAGUAAUGAAUAUGGGUAGCUGAAAGUUUUAAUGGAAUGUAACCUACAACAAUCAGCUUUAUAAUACUCCCUCCGACACAUAUUUUAAUUGUAUGUGUAAAAGAAAAAGUAGACAACUAAAAUAGGAUUAAAUGCAAGCAAGUCUUGGUCCAAUAGGUGGUGUUACAAAGACCCGAAAAGCUCCACAGAUCUAUGACUUUUUUGAUCAUCUUCAAUCAUGGGUUAUGAUGUGACUAAAAUCUCUUGCAUAGCAACUUAAUAUUACUUUUGAGGUCUCUUAAGCCUGUGUAUGGGGUUAUAAUUUAUUUUUUAUGUUUUAUUUCCUGCAUAUGAGGGUAAUUUUGAAGCCAAUUACCGUUGGAAACGUUGUAAAAAGUAAAAUCUAAUAACCUGAUGAUCAUUGUUAUAUUCUAGGCUUCCUCAAAAAAUCCAAAAGCCUUCCCAAUCACCAUGUAUAAUUUAAUAUGCUAAAAAUUGAUUCCUUUACUGUUCCUCAAACUACCAAACAAGCAUAUGAAAGCGAUCAACUACCUAAUUGUACUAAACUAUUCGCAUUUUGUUUUCACUUCUCCUUUGAAUUCGACACAAUGUCAUCUGCACCAUACCUUAAUCAUUAAAAAACAUCUAGCUAGUCAUUCUGUUUCUGCAUAAAUCACUCUCCAAUUCAUCCAUUUGCACCAGUCAUCGAGAUGUCUAAUUCUAUCGUCAACUCUGCAAAGCCAGUACAUAUAUUAUUUCUCCCUAGUGGUCUGGGAGUGGGACAAAUGGUUCCAUUUUUUCGACUAGCUUCCAUGUUAGCUUCACAGAAAUGUAAAAUCACCUUUAUCAUCAUGCAGCUUGAAAUAUCUACCACAAAGUCGAGUUUCAUCUCCAACUAUUUCGCCGAUCACCCAGAAAUCAAUCGACUAGAUUUUCAAAUUCUUCCCUUGAAUACAUCAACCUUUCCAAUCAAUGAUCCAUUCAUCAUGCAAAUUGAUGCUAUUAGUAACUCGCUUCACCAGCUCGGCCCUCUCGUGUCUUCUUUGAAUGAACCAGUUUCUGCUAUUGUCUCUGACUUUAUUAUUGCAUCUAGUCUUUCACAGAUUGCUAAUAAUCUCAACAUUCCUCUUUACAAUAUCUCCACAACAUCAGCUAAAUUUUACUCGAUUGUGGCAUACCUUCCUGUACUGUUGUCCAAAGAUCCUGCUGCAUUUAAGUACUGCUCGAGCAAUCUUGAGAUCCCAGGUUUAGGAUCAGUUCCAAAAUCAAGCAUCCCUCGUUCUUGGAUGGAUGAUUCACCAUUGAGCUAUGUAUUGAAAGCCUACUUACUGCCAAAUGCUCGAGCUCUUCCUCAAGUGACUGGCGUCUUUCUGAACACCUUUGACUGGUUUGAACCAGAAACAAUUGCUGCCCUUGAUGAUGGAAGAGUAACCAGUUCUCUUCCUCUUGUUUUUCCUGUUGGUCCUAUGGAAGAUUACAAGCUAGGAGAAGACACUCAGUGUUCAUGGUUAGAUGACCAACCUGCUGAAUCAGUUGUAUAUGUUAACUUUGGAACUAGAGAGCCGAUUUCUUCACAACAACUAAGAGAAAUAGGAAAAGGACUAGAGAUAUGCGGAUAUAAGUUUCUAUGGGUGCUGAAAGAAGAGCAUCUAGAGUUGUUUGGGAAUACAGUCCUGGAAGAGAUGGAAAAGAAAGGGAAAACAGUGAAACCAGGCGAUUAUGAGGAAGCUAUUAUGAACCAUACAGCUAUUGGACUUUUCAUGAACCAGUGUGAAUGGGAUUCAGUGAUGAAUGCAGCUUGGUCAGGAGUGCCAAUACUGGCAUGGCCACAUCAUGGUGAUCAAAAGUUGAAUGCAGAAAUUGUAGAGAAGGUAGGAUUGGGGAGGUGGGUAGAAGAAUGGGGUUGGGGUGAGGAAAAUCUAGUGAAUGGUCGGGAGAUUGCCGAAAUGGUGAAAAACUUUAUGGGAGAUGUUAAUAUGAAGGUAAACGCUCUGAAAGUGAGGGAACAAGCUAGAAAAAUCAAGGGAAUUGGAGGGAGCUCUGAGAAGAGGCUAAGGAAAUUCAUCAAAGCAUUAAAGGCAGAACAAAAAUGAUGUACCUUGACACCAUUCUUGGAAGGUUGUCAUCAACUAUAUUGCUCGGACUCUCCAAAAAUGCAGCUACACCCGAGUCAGAUCCUUCAAAUAUGCACUACUUUUGGAGGAUCCGUCAAGCACCUACUGGAAUUUUUGAAGAGUCGGAGCAACAUAGGUUAUCAACACUUCCUUUCAGUUGUUGAUCCUCUGGUUGUAAAAAUAAUUGUUAAUUGGAGCCUUCUUGUUAAAGUCAAAAGAUUGUGGCCCGUCAACACAAAGAAGUUGGAACACAAUAAGAAUCAAUGCAGUCAGCUGUAGCAGUGUUAUAGGUGUAAACUGGAAGCUCCUGAUAUCGGAGAUCCACAGGAGUUUAACAUACCUAAAAAUUGUUAAACGAAAUAAAGCUUAUCCAGUAAUCUAAAAACGUUAAGAGAAAGAAAAAUGGCCACGGAUACAAGAUUUAAUCCUGGAAAGAAAAAUGUUGACAAAGCACCUGAAGGCAUUAAGAAACAAUAACAACAACAACAACAACCCAGUAUAUUCCCACACAGUGAGGUCUGGGGAGGGUGAAACGUACGCAAUCCAUACCGCUGCCUCCGAAGAAGUAGAGAGGUUGUUUCCGAUAGGCCCCUGGGGCUCAAGAGAGAGAAUAGUAUAGCAAGGUUGUAAUGCAACUCGAAACAGGAUGUAUAAAUAAUAACAGUAAAUAUUAAGGAAAUACAAAAUAAGUAAAGUACAAGCAAUAUGAAAUAAGAAAUAGGAAAACGGAUACUCUCCUAGUAGUAAGCAAUACACUCACAGACCUAAGAGGACUACCACCCCCACACUCUCCUAACACCUAGCCCCAACCCACACACUCACACUAGCCUUCAACCCUAAUCCGCGACCUCCACACCUUCCUGUCUAGGGUCAUGUCCUCAGUAAGCUGCAGUUGCUCCAUGUCAUGCCUAAUCACCUCCCUCCGGUAUUUCUUUGGCCUAUCUCUAUCCCUCCUGAAGCCAUCCAAAGCUAGUCUCUCAUACCUCCGAACAGAGGCAUCCGUGCUCCUCCUCAUCACAUGCCCAAACCAUCUCAACCUGCCUUCUGUCAUCUUGUUCUCCACCGAAGUCACUCCCACCUUCUUUUGGAUAAUCUCAUUCCUGACUCUAUCCCCUAUAGUGAGACCACACAUCUAACGCAACAUCCUCACUUCCGCCACCUUCAAUCUCUGGAUAUGGGAGUUCUUGACUGACCAACAUUCAGCUCCAUACAGCAUGGCCGGACGGAAUGCCACUCUGUAGAAUUUGCCCUUAAGCUUAAGGGGCACCUUCCUAUCACAUAACACUCCCGAGGCGAGCCUCCACUUCAUCCAACCUGCUCCAAUACGCUUAGAGACAUCCUCCUCAAUCACGUCAUCCCCCUGAAUCAUAAACCCAAGAUACUUAAAACUAUCUUUCUUACAAACAUCCUUAUAGUCCAACCUCAACACCACACCGUCCUCCGGACUCGAGUCACCGAACUUGCAUUCCAAAUACUCCGUCUUAGACCUACUCAACCUGAACCCUUAGAUUCCAGAGUUUGCCUCCAAACCUCCAAUUUCUUAGUCACACCCUCCCUUAUCUCAUCAAUCAGCACUACAUCAUCCGCAAAUAACAUACACCACGGCACCUCACCUUGAAUACUCCGCGCCAACACGUCCAUCACCAACGCAAAAAGGAACAGGCUAAGAGUCGAUCCCUGGUGCAAACCUGUCUCUACCGGAAAAUGCCAUGAGUCUCCUCCCGCCGUCCUCACCCGACUUUUCCCUCCAUCGUACAUGUCCUUAAUAGCUCUGAUGUACGCCACCUGCACUCCUCUCACCUCCAAGCAUCUCCAAAAAACCUCCCUAGGGACUCUGUCAUACCGCCUUCUCCAGAUCGAUAAACAUCAUGGGCAAAUCCCUCUUCCUUUCCCUAUACUGCUCCACCAAUCUUCUCACCAGGUGAAUUGCUUCCACCAAUCUUCUCACCAGGUGAAUUGCCUCUGUCGUCGAGCGACCAGGCAUAAAACCAAACUGAUUCUCUGAAAUGGACACGACCCUCCUCAAUCUCCGCUCAACCACCCUCUCCCAAAUCUUCAUAGUGUGACUCAACAGCUUAAUUCCCCUAUAGUUAUUGCAACUGUGAAUGUCACCCUUGUUUUUAUACGAAGGAAUCAUCGUACUCCAUCUCCAAGCCUCAGACAUUCUCGCAGUAGUGAAAAUGGCGUUGAACAAAUCAGUCAGCCACCUUAAGCCUGCCCCACUAGCAUACUUCCAAAAAUCCACCGGGAUCUCGUCGGGCCCCGUCACCCUACCACUCUGCAUUCUACGAAUAGCCUCUCUGACCUCCACAACCUUAAAACGUCUCCAGUAACUGAAAUCGCGGCUCUUCUCCGAGCGCUCCACUCCCCUAACACAAUGCCUCUGUCCCCUUCCUCGUUUAAAAGCCUAUGAAAAUACUCCUGCCAUCUCUUCUUAAUGUGAACAUCUUUCACCAACACUCUACCUUCCUCCCCCUUAAUGCACUUCAUUUGAUCGAGGUCACGACCCUUCCUCUACCUAGCCUUAGCAAGCCAUACAACCUUUUUUCCCCGCCUUUCUCCUCUAACCCGCAUACAAACCCUCAAAUGCUGCUGUCUUAGUCGCCGUAACUGCUAAAUUAGCCUCUUUCCUUGCUACUUUGUAGACCUCCCUAUUCACCCGCUUCUCCUCUUCAUCCUUACUCUCAAUCAACUGAACAUACGCCCCCUUCUUGAUCUCCACUUUCUUGUUAACUUCCUCAUUCCACCACCAGUCCCCCUUAUGUCAUCCUGCUCGACCCCUCGAAACACCCAACACCUCUCUAGCCGCCUCCCUGAUGCAGUUGGCCGCCUUAUUUCCCACAUAACAUCCACGUCCCCCCUACACUCCCACACCCCCAUUAAGAAAGCAUAUCAAAAUUUACGAAAACAGUCGGAAGAAACAAUGCAAUUAAAGCAAAAGUAAUUAGUUUCAUUUUCCCUUAGGAAGAAGUUCAGGUUUCCCCAUGCGACUAAAAGGGCACAAACAUUAAGUUAGACAGUAUUCUUUGAAAUAACAUCAAAAGAUAUUCCAUUCUGUUGAAGCAUGUCUUGGAGGUCUGUUGGUCCAAACACGAUCCCGGGCGGUAAAACACCUCCCUUUGGAAGAUUGUGUCGUUCCUUGAGCAAAAUGAGAGCACACUGGACUAGAAUGAUCGGAGUUGUCAAAUAACCAACCUCAGGUCCCAUUACUCUUGUAAUUAUCUCCGUAUCAGGCUUCCUGUUUCCUUGAGAUGCAAGACUGCCAUCGCUAAACCCGUGUCCGACAAACCACAUCUUAAAGGUAGCACUUGCCACUUCAUCUUCAGUUGGACCUUUUUUCCUGAACCAUCCAAGACUGAACAAUGAAGGGAAUUUCAAUAGCAGCCACCUCCCUAUACCAAUUUUAGCAAAGAGACCAAUGAACACACCAACUGUAAUGAAACGAACAACACCUAAUACAGAUUUUGAAGCUAUCUUCACACUGAAGUGAGCUGGUUUUAUGCUUGACCAAAAUGCCUCCCUCCUCUCAACAUGUUCAGUGCUUUCAUUAACACCUGGUAAACCAUUAGGAUUUUCAGCCAAACAUGAAAGUGUUCUUCGGACUACAAUGGCAUCUGCUGAUGGUAACUUUACAGCCCAAACGCCAAUUUCCUUUUGGUGGUCCAUCAACGGACCAUUAGGAGGACGAGGACCAGGAAUCUAAGCAAACAGAAAAAUGUUAGAGAGAGAGAGAGAAUAUGUUUCACAGAUCUAAUGUGUUAUUUGAUAGAGAAAACACUGACAUAUACUGUCCCCACAGCAGCAUGGUACGUAGUAUGGCUUUGUGCAAUGAUUAAUCUAGCAAAUGUAGCAGGUAUCAAAUAAGCCCAUCUCUAACAACAAAUCUCUAUUAAAAGUACGCUUGUAAUAAAAAAGUUGAUCCCUGUCAUACACGGAUUCAGUCUAUCUAUCAUAAGGUUAUGAAUUUCUACCAUUACUCAUCAGCGCCAUCACAUAUCGACUACGACACACAUUUUAUGGAAAGAGUUAAAUUGGCUCUCAAAGAUCCUCAUAUAAAAUAAUUUUUAUAAUCAUGCAAUCAUUCUGUAAAAUGAGGAAAAGAACCUUAAUAUGAUUGACUUUGGACUUUGAUUGCAGUUUACACCUUCAAAGACAUACUGAUUAAUUGACUUCUAAUUUGUAAAGACAAAUUGCUUCUUAACCUACAUUACUCCUCCAGUGAAACAAAAGAACAGUGAAACUAGAAUACUUCUAAAGAAUUGACGUGUAUGACUGUGUCAAAACUUCCGAGGACGGAGCAUACUCCUGCACCUUUUCUCCAUAUCUUUUCUAGGUAGCAUUACACUUCCACAGUAUUUAGGUCUAAUUCCAUUACUCUUUCUCAAUACUGAUGCAAUCUUUUCAAGACAAAAUCACUUCUCAUUAAGCAUCAACUCCACAACCUAUCUACCAUCAUUCCUGCCACUUAAUUAGCCGACCACAGGACCAGACUGCAUCAGAUAGUUGUUGGCCGUAUCAAGUAGACUGAUGUAUUCAUGAAACUACAUGUACAUAUAUGUAUGUGAAUGGCUUCAUAGAAGAAGAAAUGAGUGAAGCAUAAAUCUGGAAGUUUUCACAGCAGUAAUCAAUGUUUAAUACCACUCACAGAUUGGUUCAGCUUAUAUUCAUCCAAUAUCCCAUGACACAAGAUUUAAGUGUCAAUCAGUUAAAAUCAGAGAGGGAUGUAUUGAUUGAGAAGCACACUCCGAGUAUAUCAGUUUCAAUUUCUUCUGAUAUGGCUAAGUAGUGGACAACUUAAAUUUACUUAAAAUUUUCUCCACAGAAAAUGCAAAAUUGCCGGAUACCCUGAAUAGGGAAGCCAGAUACAAAUGUAUAAUCAACACAUAAAUAUUAAGUUAUAUUUUUUUCCCGCAUGAGUCGUGUAAGGUUCUCUUUUGUUGAUAACUAUGGUGUCUAGGUGAGCUUGCGAUGGGUAACUCUGUCCACCAAGGUUUGGAUAGAUGGGAAGAAAUUACCUAGUGUUUUUGCCUCCGAUGGAAUUUGAACUGAGACCUCAUGAUUCUAAACCUACUACAUCGACCACCAUAUCUUUGGGUGCAACGUGCAAGGCUUUCAAGGGGUUCACGGAAUCACAGGCUACUCCACACAUAGCCUUAAGGUUUGGUGUCCGGUACUCAUAUUCUCUAACAUUAUACACAGUGGCACAGUCAACAUUUGACAAGUUCAUUCUCAAACUCACAAUCCCAGCUGAAGUUCACACAACCUCAAAAUCGGGUUGCACACAUGGGAGGGGUCAAUCUAUACUUGUUUCCUUUCUUACAUGAGCUAUCUAAUGGCUAUUAAGAAGCUUCUAACAGUCUUUGCUCUUGCAUUUGCAUCUAUAUCCAUUAAUUUUUCGCGCGAAAUGCUCAUUUUCAAUUCAAUCCAAGAUCAUCAAUAACAAUAUGAAAUGGAACCUACCAACAUAAAGAAAAUGCUUACCACAGGACGAGGCCUCUUUGGUCUGUUCCGUCUUAACUCCAGUAAUUUAUCCGCAUUAGCCACGCCAAGCACCGCUGAUUCAUACGUUGCAAAGUUUCCAACAAUUCUCUUAUCCGAUUCUAAACUAACGUAAGCCUCAACCGAAUUAGGAACAGCCGGGGACAACCACUGCCUUGAAUUGAACGAACAGAAUCAAACCCACAAGCCGAAACAACCAACGAACCAUUUUCCACAGCCUUAUCAUGAUACUUCACUUCCAUCCUCUCCAUAAACUCAGGCUCUCCAGAUAUAUCCAAGUAAUCGCAGCCCGAAUCAACACAUGCUUCAGCAACGGGCUCACCGUAAAGACGAAACGGGCCGACACAGUUGAGAAUGAUCUUAGUCUGGGAAGCGAGGUGCCGGAGAGAAAACGGGUCGGUUGUGUCGGCGGCGAGGAUUGGGAUUUGGGGUGGUGGGUUUGGGCCGGAGGCCCAUUGUAGAGCCUGGGAAAGUUUGGAAGUGUUACGGCCAGCUAUGGCUAAGUUUUUCAAAGGGGAAGAUGGAACGUUGAGGAAUUUGAGAGCUUCUCUAAUAACGUAUUUACCAGUAAAACCUGAAGCACCUAAGAUUAUCACGUCGUAUGUUGGAUUCUGAGACAUUUUUGUUGGAUUUGUUUAUCGAUUUUGGGUUAAUGGAAGGGAAGAGUGUUGAUCAGACAGUUGGACUUUGAAGACGAAGAGAACAAGGAGAACUAGAAAUGUGUGCCGUAACUGCGAGAUUCCCUGAUUCGGUCUCCUGUAUACCCGAAGUCUGCUGUUUCUUAUUACUCCCUUCGUCUCAAAUUAAGAUAACAUAAUAAUUAAAAAAAAUAAUUAAUAACAUAUUUAAUUUAUCAUAGUAUUAUUAUAUUUAUAUUUUAAUUUAAAAAAAUAAUUAAUACAAACGAUAAAAUAUAAAGAAAAAAAUAUAUUUUUUCUUGAUUAUUGAAAAAAAAUAAGUAAAAUGAAAAAUCAAAAUAGAAAAUUUGAAACGGAUGAAAUACUUUUUUGUUAGUCCUCGAAAAGAUAAAUACUUUUUUUUGUAUGUUUUUAAAAUAUAAUAUUAAAAUAUAUUUUAAUAUAUUUAACAUAAUUUUAAUUUAAAAUAUAAUUUUUAUUUUAAAUUUUAUGUCAAAUCAAAAUAUAUAAUUCUUUUUAGAACGGAAAAGGUACAGGUGUUUUUUUCAGUUACACAGUAAACCAAUACAGGGACUCUUUGCACUAAAACUUCAAUCAACAUUAUGACUAUGUAAACCACAAAAUGCAAUUUUUUAUUGAUUACAACUGUGAGCUGGAAACUACUGGAUUAAGUCAAGCGUGUUGCCUCAAACCCAAGGAUCGUUUGGUAGAAUGUAUUUAAAAAAAUAAUAUAUAUAUUAGUUAAUGUGUAUUAUUUAUAUUUUAUUUGGUAUAUUUUUUAUUUUAUGUAUAACUAAUAUUUACAUUAAUUAUACACUCUAUAGUGUAUUAGUAAUAUCACUUAUUUUCUAUGUAUUAAUAAUACAAAGCCUUCAAUACUUACAUUGACUUAUUAAAUGAUAAAUUUACCCCUCAAAAUAUUUUUUUUCUUCUUAAUCAAACAUUAUUUUUUCUUUUUCUUUUUUUUUUUCAACUUUUUUUGCUCCGAUCUGUAGCCGCUGCUACUUUCUUUUUGUUUAUCACCAUUUUUAACCUCAACAUUUUCAUGUAUGAUCAUCGUGUAGAUUUUUCUUGUUAAUUGAUUUUGUUUUGUUUGAAUUUUGCAAAAGUUGGAGAAGAGAUGUUGGACAUCAUGUCACCUCCAUUUGUUUUAUUUUAUCUCCCAUUUUUUCUUGGUUGAGCUUUGUCUCGUCGAUGCUAGCAUAAGAAUUAUCUGUAUGUGUAAUUAUAUCAUCAAAUAGAAGGAUAAUGCUUCCAUGGAUAUUUCAUUUCUACAAUAGCAGCUACUUACUUCUAAGCUUGAAAGAGAGUAUACAAAGAAGGGUACUUUAGUAAAUAAAAAUCGUUUUAUAAAAAAUAUAUAAAUAUUUAUUAUAUUUAAUACAUCAAAUCAAACACUGUAUAAAAAUAAUAUUUGUAUAACUAAUACCAGUAUUACUAAUAAACAUUACUAAUACACCUUAUUCAGCAUUAUUCUUACACCUUGUACCAAACGACCCCCAAUAAAAUGUACUUGUGGAAAAAAUUAUUUGUAUAUAUUUUACUUUUUUUUUUAAUGAAAUGAUGUAGUUGAAGCAGGCAUAUCUUAAAUAUCUAUUUUAUUUUUUGAUUAAAUACUAUUAUUUUUUAUUAUGCAAUGACUUAUAAUAAUUAAUUAGGGAUAAUAUAAUAAAAUCAUGAUUGAAGCAGUUAAAACAAACAUGUCAACCACAAGUUUUCUGCUUCGGCAGUUUCAUCCACACUUAUUAAUAAUAGAAAUAGAACAAAAUGAUCUUGUUUUGUUCUUCGAUUGAGAAGAGAUGUCUCGAGCAAUUGGAAGUUCUUUGAUAAACAAAAAGAAAAUUGUUUUUGAUUAGUAGGUGGUGGUUUGGGGGUGAAGAUCGAGGAAAAUUUUUAUUUUGCAUGAGAUAUGCCAACUCAUACUUGUACGAGGCAUUCUCUUAUUGACAAGUGAACUUUAGUGGGUCCUAUUUACAAGUAAAAAAUUUAUGUCUUUUUCUACUACAUUUAUCUCUUUUUCCAUGUUCUUUUAUUUUCCAAUCACUUUCCAAAAUAUUUUAUUUUUCUAUUUUAUUGUAUGCCUUUUGAAGAGAUUUUACGAAAUGUGUUUAUGUAUCAUUUUUGUGACAGAAUUUAGAAUAUUUUUGAAUUCAAACGUUUAAAGUUAGAGAAUACUUUUUGAAAUUUUGGUUAGCGGACCUAAUUAUUUGUUUUUUUUUUUCUUUCAGUUAGUUUUGAUUGAUUUUUUGUGAUCGGUAUAUGAAUUUAAAGUAGAUUUUUUUUUUAAAGUUAAGUGAAAUUAUUCAUACUUUGAUUUGGAUUGAUUUUGGUUAAAAUCAAAAAUUAAAAUAAAAAAAUAAAUCAAUUUAGUUAAUUUUAAUUAUUUAAAUUAAAUUAAAAAAUAUUUUAUACAUUAUUAGAUUGAUUGUAGUUUUAAUUUGUUUUUUAAUUUUUUAGUAAGGAUAUUUAUCUCCUUUUCUUCUACCAUUAGCAACGAAAUUUCAUUAGUUUUUUUGGUUUCCCAAGGUAUCCCCAUAGCCGGCAGCCGUGAGACUAAUCCUUCGUUUCUCGAUCAGCGCACUAAGCGGUAGGAAAUUGACCAAAGAGUUUGCUCUGUUCACCAGAAGCAGGGAUCGAACCCUCGACCUCUUGCUUAAGGGACAUAGUGCUGAACCACUAUGCCAACUCUAGUGGUUGAAAUUUCAUUAGUUGCUAACUUGUAAUCAUGAACAAUUUUUUUUUAUUAUGAUGGCUAUAAUUAUUUUGAAUUAUGAUUAAUGUCUUAAUAUCUGUAAAUGUUAAUUAAGUGAAUAGAUUUUAUAAAAAAGUAUAAAGAUAUCUAAGCAAAAAUCUCAAAAUAUAUAUUGUGAUUCAUGUAUUUUUUUUUUAAAAUGUAUAUAUAUAUAUAUAUUGUGAUUCAUGUAUUUUUUUAAAAAAUGUAUUUAAGUCUAAAUUUAUUAGUCCAUGAGAAUAAAAUUAAAGUAAUAAAAUUCUGAUGGAACAUUAUGUAAAAUAUUUUAAAAUAAUUUAUAAAAAUUGAUACAUUUCCUAUUUCAUACAAAUAAUUAUAAAAUUAGUAAACUCAAAGAUUAUUAUUUUAUAAAAUAUUAAUAUUAAAUCAAAUAAAACUAAAAGUAUAUAAAUUUAUUUUAUUAAUUUACUUUUUAUUUAGUUUAAUUUUAAUCAAAUUACGAAGAAAUUAAAAGCUGAAAGGUGAAACUAUAAAAUAAUUUAAAGAAUUAUAGUCUGCGUUAGUAACAUUGACGAAAGAAGAAAAUGAGAAAAAAUAUUGAAAGAAGGCAGCAAGAAGAAAAGAAGAAAAGAAGAAAAGUGAAUGGGAGAAUUGAUAUUAUAGUGUGUCCCACAAUUCUUGUAUGUUCUCUCCUUCUUGAUAGUUUAAAUUGACAAGUGGAUCCCAUAAUCUGUGUCAAAAAAAUAAUGGAAACUCGUACAACUAGUGGCUGUCACGUAAUAAGUGUAUCUCAUACAGAGUAAAACUUUUUGAGGGUUAGAGUACGAACAAGUUUAUAAAAUAAUUUUAAAAAAUAAAUUAAAAAAAUUGUGGUGAGGUUUGAUUGGGGUGGGGUCGGGUUAAGGUAGAAGGGUGGGGGAGCGAGACUUGUGGAGUGGGAGUUAAAUAAUAUAAGUAGAGGAUAAAAUAAAAUUAUAUAAUAUUAAGUAAGGACAUAACUGAAAAAAAAAAAAAAAGUAAAUCAGUGAUACACCAAAUUAGUGAUUACAUAUAAUGAGGAUUUUCAUGAUUAUCAAACUAUACAAUUAAACCAUAUCAUACAUUUUAAGAAAUAAUCAAAACAAACAUUAUUCUCUUAAUAAUUAUACAUGACAUACCAUGGAAACCACCAUCCAAACAUUAAGUUAGACAGUAUUCUUUGAAAUAACAUCAAAAGACAUUCCAUUCUGUUGAAUCCUGUCUUGGAGGUUUGUUGGGCCAAACACAAUCGAUCCCAGGUGGUAAAACACGUCCCUUUGGAAGAUUGUGUCGUUCCUUGAGCAAAAUGAGAGCACACUGGACUAGAAUGAUGGGAGUCUCAGGCCCUAUGACUCUUGUAAUUAUCUCCGUAUCAGGCCUUCCUGUUUCCUGGUGAUGCAAGACUGCCAUCGCUAAACCCGUGUCCGACAAACCACAUCUUAAAGGUAGCACUUGCCACUUCAUCUUCAGUUGGACUUGUUUUCCUAAAUCAUCCGAGACUGAACAAUGAAGGGAAUUUCAAUAGCAGCCACCUCCCUAAACCAGUUUUACCAAAGAGAUCAAUGAACAUACCAACUGUAAUGAAACAAACAACUCUUAACACAGAUUUUGAAGCUAUCUUCACACCAAAGUGAGCUGGUUUUAUGCUUGACCAAAAUGCCUCCCUCCUCUCAACAUGUUCGGUGCUUUCAUUAACACCCGGUAAACCAUUAGGAUUUUCAGCCAAACAUGAAAGCGUUCUUUGGACUACAAUUGCAUCUGCUGAUGGUAACUUUACAGCCCAAACACCAAUUUCCUUUUGGUGGUCCAUCAACGGACCAUUAGGAUGACAAGGACCAGGAAUCUAAAGCAAACAGAAAAAAGUUAGAGAGACAGAGAGAGAGAGAAUGCAAAAGUUGUCGGAUACCCUGAAUUCGGGAAGCCAGAUACAAAUUUAUAAUCAACACAUAAAUAUUAAGUUAUAUUUUUUUUCAUGCAUGUGUCGUGUAAGGCUCUUUUUUGUUGGUAACUAUGGUGUCUAGGUGAGCUUGCGAUGGGUAACUCUGUCCACCAAAGUGUAGACAGAUGGGAAGAAAUUACCUAGUGUUUUUGUCUCAGCUGGAAUUCGAACUGAGACCUCAUGAAUCAUCGACCACCAUAUCUUUGGGUGCAACGUGUGUAAGGCUUUCAAGGGGUUCACAGAAUCACAGGCUACUCCACACAUUGCCUUGAGAUUUAGUGCUGGGUACUCAUAUUCUCUAGCAUGGUACCACAGUGGCACAGUCAACAUUUGACAAGUUCAUUCUCCAACUCAUAAUCCCAGUUGAAGUUCAGAUAACCUCAAAAUUGGGUUGCACACAUGGAAGGGGUCAAUUAAUACUUGUUGUCCUUACCUACAUGAGCUGUCUAAUGGCUUUCAAAGAAGCUUCUAAUAGUCUUUGGCUAUUGCAUUUGCAUCUACAUCCUAUAAGUUUUGGGGUUAACUGCUCACAUCCAAUUCAAUCCAACAUCAUCGUUCAUCAGUAUCAAAAUGAAAUUACCUACCAAAUGAAACAAGAUCUUACCACAGGACGAGGCCUCUUCGGUCUAUUCUGCCUUAGCUCUUGUAAUUUAUCAACACUAGCCUCACCUAGCACAGCUGAUUCAUACGACGUAAAGUUUGUAACAAUUCUUUUAUCUGAUUCUAAACUAAGGUAGGCCUCAACCGAAUUAGGAACAGACGGGGACAUCCACUGUCUGGAAUUGAACAUAAACCCCAAUUCAGAAGGAACAGAAUCAAAACCACAAGCUUAAACAACCAACGACCUAUUUUCCACAGCCUUAUCAUGGAACUUCACUUCCAUCCUCUCCAUAAACGCAGGCUCUCCACAUAUAUCCAAGUAAUCGAAGCCCGAAUCAACACAUGCUUAAACAACGGGCUCACCGUAAAGACGAAACGGGCCGACACAGUUGAGAAUGAUCUUAGUCUGGGACGCGAGGUGACGAAGUGAAGAUGGAUCACUGGUGUCGGCGG